rnacentral:rRNA from 1 species
CCUACGGGAGGCAGCAGUGGGGGAUAUUGCACAAUGGGGGAAACCCUGAUGCAGCGACGCCGCGUGUGGGAAGACGGUCCUCUGGAUUGUAAACCACUUUCCCCAGGGACGAAGAUGAGGGUACCGGGGGAGGAAGCUCCGGCUAACUACGUGACAGCAGCCGCGGUAAUACGUAGGGAGCGAGCGUUGUCCGGAAUUACGGGGUGUAAAGGGAGCGUAGGCGGGACUGCAAGUUGGGGGUAAAAGCUACCGGCUCAACCGGUAGCCGCACUGAAAACUGCAGUUCUUGAGUGAAGUAGAGGCAGGCGGAAUUCCUAGGGUAGCGGUGAAAUGCGUAGAUAUUAGGAGGAACACCAGUGGUGAAGGCGGCCUGCUGGGCUUUUACUGACGCUGAGGCUCGAAAGUGUGGGGAGCGAACAGGAUUAGAUACCCCUGUAGUC